GCACUUCUCGUCCUCGUACGAGCUGACACUCGAUGAUAGAGUUUGUUGAAUGACAUUCUUCUUCCACAGGCGAGUUUAGAAACCAUGAUUAUGACGAUCUGAUUUCACUUCUCAACCUUUUAUAGGUCGAUCAGAGACUGACCUCCAAAGUGACUUUGGCCCUAGCAUACAUCACCCCAUCCAGGGAUGAGGUAGCUAU
rnacentral:lncRNA from 1 species